rnacentral:rRNA from 1 species
CAGCAGUAGCCGCGGGAAUACGAAGGGGGCUAGCGUUGUUCGGAUUUACUGGGCGUAAAGCGCACGUAGGCGGACUUUUAAGUCAGGGGUGAAAUCCCGGGGCUCAACCCCGGAACUGCCUUUGAUACUGGAAGUCUUGAGUAUGGUAGAGGUGAGUGGAAUUCCGAGUGUAGAGGUGAAAUUCGUAGAUAUUCGGAGGAACACCAGUGGCGAAGGCGGCUCACCGGACCAUUACUGACGCUGAGGUGCGAAAGCGUGGGGAGCAAACAGGAUUAGAUACCCCGGUAGUCCCUGUCUCUUAUAC